CUUGUCCUUUGUCCUGGUCCUCUGGAAAAGGAAAUCUGAGGAGGGUCUGGUUCUUCUUACCCUCCAGACAGACAGCAUUAGAUAUCCCCAUGUAGCCUUCACUUCUGAGACAUAGCACAACAGUCCCAGAUUGUGAGCCUCUCCUCCUAUGCCAUGUGUCCCAGUUCCCCCACUGCCACCCCAUCCUUCGUUGUCUGCAUUAUCCAUCUGAUUUGUCUGGACUUCUAUAGAGAAUGUCUUCUAUGUUAGACAAGCAUUGUCAAUGCACUACAGUGUGUUGAGGAAAUUCCUUUUAACGGUUAUGUGCUUAACUGUUUUGUUUAUGAUAGGUUAAUUGUUAUGGAGCAAGAGCAAAAUGGGUGGCUACAAGAAGCAGGCUGGAAAGGCAAAAGGAAAUAAAGGAAAGCCUGAAACUAAGAAGAAUACUGCAACGUGAAGGAGCAAACCUAGAGAAGAAGGAGGAUUGUAUGACCUGUCCAAGGAGCUUCUGCUGGAGAAACACAAAUGCAGCAGGACCGUCCUGUGGAGGUCCAAAAGACAAGUGGUUUCCUAUCCUGCAAGUUUUGAAACUGAUAGUGUGCAAGAUGUGUCCUCAGACAGAACCAGAACACAUGCAGUAGUAGCCAGUUUCUACAGGCUACUGUGCCUCUCACUGUAAUUACCACAACAUAGCGAAGACAGGCAUCUAGAGUCACAGGCUACUGGACACAGCAGAGCUGGGCAAAGAUUUGCACAAUUAAGCCUAGUCCAGGCAGGCAGGCUGCAUACUCUGUCCCUGAGAGGGUUGCAUUUUAAGAGGAAGUGAAUAAGAAUGGCAUGUAGCAGGGUUAUUUCUGUUCUAUUGUUCUCCUCCAUUCUUCAUUUUUCUUUUUCUGCAUACUACUUUUUUUUUCUACCUUUACUUCCCCAUUAGUACAAAUGGAUGUCUUCUCCAGUUUGGUGUUUUAAGUUAAGUCUGAUUUGAGGAUCAGAAUGACCCAGAUGUGCUCACUGAUUCUUUAUCUGCUUUCCCAUCUACGUAGUUCCUCAUCCUGAACUGUGGUCCACUCCUGUCAUCCAUCCACAGUUAAAGGUUAAGCUCCGGCUUUAGCACAGGUGCAUACUUCAUCUAACAAUCUGCCUAAAUUGGAUUUUGAGGGGAUUAUCAUGCCCAAGGGAUGUGUAAAUUGUUAUGUGGAUCAGCUGGGUAAGCCUGUUUGAGUUCAGUGUUGCCUUAAGUAAGGCAUGCCCUGUAGCAUAUGCUGUGCUUCACUGCAGCCUUGUUUUGUCUGUAUAACAAUGUAGAUAUUAUUGCCAUUAAAUUAAUUAUUACCUGCAAACUCUCAAACCAGGAAAUUACUUGAGUAAAAAACCAUAAUGUCAGCAAAAGCUUAAACGCAGAUUUUCUGUGUGGGAUUACCACAGCUCUUCGUACAUACUGUAACCAUGUGAUCACAGACUUUUCUUUUUUCACGGACUGCCUACCUCCUCUGCAGCAUUCAGAGAAUUCCACCAGUGCUUAGUUACUACAGUUCAUUCAAAUCUUCUGCCAAAUGCAUCUUAUAAUUUCUUGUGCUUCACUACAUGUGUGGUCUUUCCUAUAGUGUGUCUCCCUAAAAACAAAC